UACGUAGGGGGCGAGCGUUGUCCGGAUUUAUUGGGCGUAAAGAGCUCGUAGGCGGUUGGGUAAGUCGGGUGUGAAAACUCAGGGCUCAACUCUGAGACGCCACUCGAUACUGCUCUGACUCGAGUCCGGUAGGGGAGCGUGGAAUUCCCGGUGUAGCGGUGAAAUGCGCAGAGUAUCGGGAAGGAACACCAGUGGCGAAGGCGGCGCUCUGGGCCGGAACUGACGCUGAGGCGACGAAAGC
rnacentral:rRNA from 1 species